rnacentral:rRNA from 1 species
GACGAACGCUGGCGGCGUGCCUAGUACAUGCAAGUCGAACGCAUUUUCUUUCACCGUAGCUUGCUACACCGAAAGAAAAUGAGUGGCGAACGGGUGAGUAACACGUGGGUAACCUGCCCAUCAGCGGGGGAUAACACUUGGAAACAGGUGCUAAUACCGCAUAAUUCCAUUUACCGCAUGGUAGAUGGGUGAAAGGCGCUUUUGCGUCACUGAUGGAUGGACCCGCGGUGCAUUAGCUAGUUGGUGGGGUAACGGCCUACCAAGGCUGCGAUGCAUAGCCGACCUGAGAGGGUGAUCGGCCACACUGGGACUGAGACACGGCCCAGACUCCUACGGGAGGCAGCAGUAGGGAAUCUUCGGCAAUGGACGCAAGUCUGACCGAGCAACGCCGCGUGAGUGAAGAAGGGUUUCGGAUCGUAAAACUCUGUUGUUAGAGAAGAACAAGGAUGAGAGUGGAAAGUUCAUCCCUUGACGGUAUCUAACCAGAAAGCCACGGCUAACUACGUG